UGUUGCAAGCAUGAGUAAUUGAUACUGUAGAUUCUAUAACAAAAUGGUUUAAUCAUAUCUUUGGCUUUGCAGUUCUUGAGCUCCAUGCUUAUAAGCUUCAACUUUUUUUCUUUUUUGGAUGUCAUAAAUAAUUUUGCAGGAGGUUUGCUUUAAAAAUGCAUUUUAACACAGUCUUUUUGAUAAAUCUGUACAGCUGUACGCAUAAUACCUUUAGUUAGUGCUUGGGCUACACAAAUGGUUCAGUUUUGGAGUUAUAGCAGCACUUACAUUUUUGGCUUUAAGAUCUGUUUUUUGAACAAAUCAAGUGUUUAACUCUGUGAAAUGAUGAAAAGAAGAAGAGAGAAAUUUGGAGCACCAUCUCUACGGAUCCAAAUCUCCUCUCCUUUCCUCUCCCACUGCCGAGGAAGUGAUGCCCUUCAGCAUGUGUUCUCUCCUACAUCUGCUCCAGGUCUGCAGCAUCUUAAAAUCCCACUUAGUGCUGAUUGUGCCCUUGCUACUUCUCCUCUAGUAUUUUACAUCAGCCCACAACCUCAGAGCAACCCUGGUAGUCCCUGCUACAACAAUCCACUUCAGUGGAGGGGAAUUCAUCGUCAACAUUAAGGAUUCUGGAAACUAUCCACCUUCAAGAUCACCAUCCUCCUGUUCUACAGUUUCAGAGUUAUCCAUCCCGGAUAGUGCUUCAUUUGCAUCAUCAUCAGACACCCACAGUAUAUCACCUAAAAGAAAGAAAAAACCCUUCCCUCCUGGAACCACCAUAGAUACGUUUGUGAUAAAAACUAGCAGAUUAGAAAAAGAGUUAAUUGAUGAAAAAAUUGCCCAGUUUGUUUAUGCAACGAACUCUUCUUUCCGUCUGACUGAGAACCCACAUUUCAUUAAUAUGGUUCAGUCACUGAGACCAGGAUACAGUCCACCCUGCAGAGCAGAUGUUGCAGGGAAACUGCUGGAUAAAGUGUAUGACAGAGAAAUGGAGCAAUGUGCAACAGCUCUGGAGGGUAGAAUUGUUAACCUAAGUAUUGAUGGGUGGAGUAAUGUCCACAAUGAUCCUGUUGUAUGUGCUUGUAUAACAACAGAAGAAGGGAAAGUCUUCCUCGCACAAACAAUUGAUACGUCAGGAAAUGCACACACAGCAGAAUACUUACAAGAAGUGGCAGUAAAAGCUAUAAUAACAUGUGAACAAAAAUUCAAAUGUCUAGUACGCAGUUUGGUCACAGACAAUGCUGCAAAUGUAUCCAAGAUGAGAAGAAAUUUAGAAGAGCAGGAAGGGAAUACAAAGCUAAUAACAUAUGGUUGCAGUGCUCAUUUGCUGCACCUCUUAGCCAAAGACUUAAGUGUUCCAGAAAUAAAGACUGAUGUUGUUGAAAUUGCUAAAUACUUCCGUAACAAUCAUUUUGCUGCAGCAGCUCUGAAAAGGAUGGGUGGAACCAAGCUAACGCUCCCGUAAGAUGUUAGAUGGAACUCUGUGGUGGACUGUUUUGAGCAGUAUAUCAAGAACUGGCCUAUUCUGAUGACAGUUUGUGAACAAAAUCGAGAUAAAAUAGAUGGCGCUGUCACGGCCAAAAUCCUCAACAUUGGGCUUAAGAGAAAUGUUGAACAUAUGCUGAGCAUCCUGAAACCCAUCUUGAAGAUUUAAACAAAAUACAGAAAAAUAGCUGUUUUAUUGCUGAUGCUGUUGAAAUUUGGAAGGAACUGAGUGAACACUUAAAAACAGAACUACACAUGGACAGAAUUAAAUUACAAGCAUUAAAAAAACGAAUGGGACAAGCACUGUCUCUAGCUCAUUUUUUGGCAAAUAUUGUCAAUAUCCAGUACCAGGGUCAAAACUUAAGUGCUGAGGAAGAGGAGUUAGCUAUGACAUGGGUAUCCAGCAAUCAUCCAUCUGUAAUGCCAACUAUAAUAAACUUCAGAGCUAAGGGGGAACCAUUCAAGAAAUAUAUGUUUGCUGAAGAUAUUUUAAAGAAAGUCACACCAGUGAACUGGUGGAAGUCACUUAAGCACUUGGAUUUAGAGACUGUUCAAGUAAUGAUUUCACUUUUAACAGCAGUAGCUUCUUCUGCAGGCGUUGAAAGAAUAUUCUGUUCCUUUGGACUCAUUCAUUCUAAACUGAGAAAUCGUUUGGGACCCGAUAAAGCAGGAAAGCUUGUUUUUCUUUUCCAGAUUAUGAACAAAGAAGAAGAUGUAGAUGAUGUGUGAGCUACAGAGGACAGUAUUUAAGUUUUUCAUGUGUAGGCUGGGCUGACAGUCUAAGUUUCUUAAAAUAUAUAUAUUUUAUUUAGCCAAAUUAGUUAACAAACAUGGAUGUUUGUUUAA